rnacentral:pre_miRNA from 1 species
CUUGGCACUUGUGGAAUUUUUUGCUCGACAAGACUUUGUGUCAAAGAAUUCCCCAGUACUAAGCA